AGCCCUUAGUACUAUAAAGUUUCUAUUCAAUGGGUAUUUAAACUUAGUAGUGAUGGAGGCAGAUACAGGUGUCUAGGUAAGUUACCCUACUGUUCCACCCCACAUUAUUGUCCAUGAGAUCCCUACAGAUACUCAAGAAGGCGAUGUCUCUCAUAAUGGUGUUAAUCUUGAAGUUCUGCCAAUAUCCAGGUAGUGAUGAUAGUUUCCAAUAAUGGCAGUAACCAAAAUUAUUUGUAAGUAUCUUUUUUCCCCCCCAGGUAAAGUAAGCUGUGUCCUUCAACACACUUGUUGUAUUUUUUAAGGUUCCAGCCAUUAUGACAUCACAGUGAAACAAAUGACGGUCCUUGAUGGGACCUUGCCAGUAACCAGGUAUGUGAUAGACUGGUUUUACCAAAACAUAGAUCCAGCUGACCUUUGGGUAUUUAGGUGAGUGAGGAUGGUGUCCCUAACACAGUGUUACUAUGCUUUUUGCUGGGAUCCCAUUAAGUUCUUUGCUAGUAUAAAAAUAUGAGAUGAUGUGAUAAUAAAUUAUUAGAGAUUUUUUAUCUUCAGAUAUAUAAGCAAUUAAUGUUUCCUAGACCUUUAUAUUAAUCUUCUUGGCAUACAGACUGUUCAGAAAUCAAUUUGUCCCUGACAAUACUAGCCUGAGCUUUUACUGUCUCCUUGUUCAGAGAUAACAUGUGUUUAUACGCCCAUACCAAUAGACCUAUAUAGUCCGUUAUCCAGGUAAUUUAUCAUAUGUUCCAUAUUUGUGAUAAUGACUGUGGUAUCUUUGCAGGUAUCCCCUCAAGAGAUGAAGAUAAAUCUAACUACAAUUUAACCUUUUGAGUUCUACAUAUUGCCCAGUAAUGUGGAAAGGGGCCACAAAAUAAUGUGCUGACCAAGAGAACUUGCAGUUACCCAGGUCGAAUAAAAUGUGUGUGGAACAAGUUUUCUAUGCUGUGUUUUCAGGUUCAUGUUAAGACAUCAGUCACAGUACAGGAAGCGCACAGCAGGUACGGAGGUAAGUGAGGAUGACCCACAGCACAGACCAUCUGAUCCUGUAUGUAAUGUAGGUAAGGGAUGGUGUCUAAUACCUCUCGUUACUAUGAUUUCGUUGCAGGUAUCCAGGGAAGAAAUGAUAGUCCUUACCAAAUCUAGUGACCAUGACUUUACACUUUUUACAUUUUAGAGAGAACAUGUUUAACCCUGUGAGUGUUGAGAGUUGACCGUAUCCGUAAUUGUCAAGUUCCCACCCCAGUCGUGACUACAGUGUUUCUGCAGGAAUCCAGUUAAGACACAAUGGCUUUCUUCUGACCAAGGUGUUGACCUGAAUUAAUGCAAGUGUCAGGGUAGAAUCAGUGUGUUAUGUGUUCCGUAAUAAUGGAAGUGAAAAGGAUUAUUAGCAGGUGUGCUGGUAGAAGAAGUCGUGUCCUUAAACACACUUUUCCUGUGUGUUUCUUCAGUUUCCUUUCAAGAAAACAUAGCCUAACAAUGGUUGUUAACAGAACCUUGCCCUUGACCAGGUACAUGAUAAAGUGAAUCUGGUCUCAUUGCAAACCAUCUGAUCUUCAGCAUGAAGCAGGUAUCCUUUCAAGAGAAGUAGAUGUCCCUUCCCAGCAUUUGACCUUGGAGUUCUGUAAGUCAAAGUAUCCAGGUUAAUAUCAAGACCUCACAGUGAGUUUAUCAGGGAUAGUGUGGGACACUGCUGGUAUGGGGCGUCUUUCCAGUUAAGAAGUCAUGGUGAACCUAACACUGCUUAUCACCGGGAAUGUUCCUGGUGUGCAGGUAAGUGAUGAUGUGGGCCUCGCCCAGGCCUUCCACUCUCCAUAUAGCUGGCUAGGUGAUUACAUUUGUAAUCAGUUGUUACCAUUUUUCUUUGCAGGUAUUCAGGUAGGAGAUGAUAGUCCUUAUCAGUUCUAGAAACCAUGUGCUUUUUUUUUCUUUUUACAUUUUAGAGAAACUUUUAUGUUAUCCCAGUGAGUAAUGAGAGAUUGCCACAUUCAGGUAAUUACCAUAAUCUUCCUAACCCUAGCAGUAGCCAUGGAAAGUCUGCAGGUGUUUCAUAAUGAA